rnacentral:tRNA from 1 species
UGCCCCAUGGCUGAGUUGGUUACAGCGUCCGACUGUUACAAGAGAGACUUGAACUCUCUAUAUCAAAAUCGGAAGGUCGUGAGUUCGAGCCUCACUGGGGCAG